UACGUAGGGUGCGAGCGUUGUCCGGAAUUAUUGGGCGUAAAGAGCUUGUAGGUGGUUUGUCGCGUCUGCUGUGAAAAUCCGGGGCUCAACCCCGGACUUGCAGUGGGUACGGGCAGACUAGAGUGUGGUAGGGGAGACUGGAAUUCCUGGUGUAGCGGUGGAAUGCGCAGAUAUCAGGAGGAACACCGAUGGCGAAGGCAGGUCUCUGGGCCAUUACUGACACUGAGGAGCGAAAGCGUGGGGAGCGAACAGG
rnacentral:rRNA from 1 species